rnacentral:rRNA from 1 species
AUUGAACGCUGGCGGCAUGCCUUACACAUGCAAGUCGAACGGCAGCACGGGUGCUUGCACCUGGUGGCGAGUGGCGAACGGGUGAGUAAUACAUCGGAACGUACCUUAUCGUGGGGGAUAACGCAGCGAAAGUUGCGCUAAUACCGCAUACGCCCUGAGGGGGAAAGCGGGGGACCGUAAGGCCUCGCGCGAUUAGAGCGGCCGAUGUCUGAGUAGCUUGUUGGUGAGGUAAAAGCUCACCAAGGGGAUGAUCAGUAGCUGGUCUGAGAGGACGAUAAGCCACACUGGGACGGUGACACGGCCCAGACUCCUACGGGAGGCAGCAGUGGGGAAUUUUGGACAAUGGGGGCAACCCUGAUCCAGCAAUGCCGCGUGAGUGAAGAAGGCCUUCGGGUUGUAAAGCUCUUUUGUCAGGGAAGAAACAGCAGCUCUAACACAGUCUGCGAAUGACGGUACCUGAAGAAUAAGCACCGGCUAACUACGUGCCAGCCGCCGCGGUAA